rnacentral:rRNA from 1 species
AGAGUUUGAUCCUGGCUCAGAUUGAACGCUGGCGGCAUGCCUUACACAUGCAAGUCGAACGGUAGAGGGGCAACCCUUGAGAGUGGCGAACGGGUGAGUAAUAUAUCGGAACGUGCCCAGUCGUGGGGGAUAACGCAGCGAAAGCUGCGCUAAUACCGCAUACGAUCUAUGGAUGAAAGCGGGGGAUCGCAAGACCUCGCGCGAUUGGAGCGGCCGAUAUCAGAUUAGGUAGUUGGUAGGGUAAAAGCCUACCAAGCCGACGAUCUGUAGCUGGUCUGAGAGGACGACCAGCCACACUGGGACUGAGACACGGCCCAGACUCCUACGGGAGGCAGCAGUGGGGAAUUUUGGACAAUGGGCGCAAGCCUGAUCCAGCAAUGCCGCGUGCAGGACGAAGGCCUUCGGGUUGUAAACUGCUUUUGUACGGAACGAAACGGUCUGGGUUAAUACCCUGGGNUAAUGACGGUACCGUAAGAAUAAGCACCGGCUAACNNNNNGNCAGCAGCCGCGGUAAUUC